GGAAGUAAAAGUCGUAACAAGAUUUCCGUAGGUGAACCUGCGGAAGGAUCAUUAUUGUAUAACCGAGGUGCGAGGGCUGUCGCUGACCCGAAAGGUCGUGCACGCCCGAGUGCCCUCACACACAUCCAUCUCACCCCUAUGUGCACCACCGCGUGGGUCCCCCUUUGGCUUGCUCGGAGGGGGGCUUACGUUUUCACACAAACUUUGUAUGCAGUGUAGAAUGUAUUUUUUGUUUUUGCGAUCACGCAAUCAAUACAACUUUCAACAACGGAUCUCUUGGUUCUC
rnacentral:misc_RNA from 1 species